rnacentral:lncRNA from 1 species
GUUCUUUUAUGUCAAAUUCUUUCCUUCUAAAAAUUAGCUCUGACAAAGACAUUAAAAAAAUAAAAGUUUUAAAGAACUGAGUACAAAGUUGAAGGACUGAAGGGAAACUCUGGAAGAUGGAAGAGACAAGCAGAGCAUCAACCUGGAUGUCUUUAAAAUAAAGAGAAGUGCCACUUCUGGAUGAAGAUAACCUUGACUCUCUUGGGAAUGUGGAAAAGAGCAUGAUGGAACAAAACCUUCAAGCAUUGUCUAUUUUUCAACUACCUCCCAUGAGCUUAAUCAGUCCUUCUCUGUACUCCAAGGAUAAUGGAUGUUCUGUUAAUUCCCAAUUCCAAAACUCAAAUGCAACUUGAUUUUUAAGUCCCUUUUUGAUUCAAACUAAACAUAUUAUAACAUUAAACUUAUUAGUCAAAGGUAAGGUUGUCAGGUAAAAUACAAGACAUUCUGUAUUUUUAUUUGCCAAACCUGGCAACCAUAGAAAGAGAAAAUGUGUGGCACUGUGGCAUAAUGUUUAAGAACACAGGCUUCAGUGUCUGACAGACUUUGUUUCAAACCCUGAUUGUGACACAUAAUAGUUACAUAACCUUAGUAAAAUCACUUAGCCUCUCUAAGCCUCAGUGUUUCCAAUUGCAAGUAGAGAAGAUGAUAAUAUUGAGUUCAUUGUGUUUUCUGAGAAUAUAUUAAGUCAUCUAUAUAAAUUGGUGAGUCCAAUGCUCAAUAACUUAUUGUUAUUUUAUUUUCAUGGAGUGUACCUGCCUUAUAACAACUCAUUUAAAAGAUCUUUCCAAAGAAUCUAAGAAUUAUAUAACAUUAAAGUCAAUAAGGGACAAAAAAUAUGAAACUUAAAAAAAAAAAACUGUUACUGCUCUCAGGAAAGCUCUGCUAACGGCCUGAGUUUCUGAGAACUAAGUCAUAUAGUGUUCCUUCAGUGUUGAUUGGGGCUUUCUUCAAACAUUGAAGGUAGCCAAGUAAACACCACUUGGAAUUAUACUCUGGUAGCAAUGGUGCCAUGUUUGUGUAAGCUUUUCUUUUUCUAAACUGCAGUGAAACCCUCCAGAACUCAGAACUGUCUCUUUUCUGGAUAAUUAGAUAAUGCACUCUUCUUCAUGCACCCAUAUGUAUCUUAUGCCUCUUACACCACUGUAUUAGCUUACUAGGACCCCCAUGACAUAAUAUCACAGACAGGGUGGCUUACACAGCAGGAAUUUAUUUUCCCACAGUUCUGAAGCCUAGAUUUCCAAGAUCAAGGUGUUCCCAAGAUUUGUUUCUCCUGAGGCCUUUCUCUUUGGCUUGCAGAUGAACACCUUUUUAUUGUGUUUUUACAUGGUGUUUAUGUAAGUGCAUGCCCCUGGUGUCUCCAUUUGUUUUCAGAUUUCCUCUUCUUACAAGGACACCAGUCAUACUAGAUUAGGGGUCACCUUAAGAGCCUCCGUUUAACUUAGUCACCUAUUUAAAGGUCUUAUCUCCAAAUUCAGUCACAAUCUGAAGUACUGGGAGUUAUGGCUUCAAAAUAUAAAUUUGGCAGGGGUAAUGAUCCAACCCAUAACAACCACCAAAAGUACAAUUAACUGGCAUAUCCUCCCCAUUGCUUUACAUUGCUUAGAAAAGAGAGAUGCAUUUUAGAUGUAAGAGGCCUUUUAGCUUCUUGGCAAAAACAUGUGCUAUCCUCUCCAAACAAUGCUGCUUACUACUGCAUGGAAGUAACUGAUGGACUGAAAAAAUAAUGCCAGAAUAAAAAGCCCAUGUUUGAUUUGUUCUAAGAUGCUGCUGACAGAGCCAUAUUUUUUUUUCAAUCUAUUUUGUUUUGUUUUGCUUUAAAUAGACUUUAUUUUAGGGGAGUUUUAUGUUAACAGCAAAACUGAACAGAAAGCACAGGAAGUUCCCACACAUUUUCUAUACCCACACAUGCCCAAUAGCACCCAGUGGCAACAUCCCAAGCCAGAGUGAUACAUUUGUUAGAACUGGUAAACCUAUUUUGACACAUUAUUAUCACCCUAAGUCCAUAGUUUACCUUAGGAUUCACUCUCGCUAUUGUACAUUCUAUGAAUUUAGACAAAUGUAUCCACUAUUAUAGUGUCAUACAGAGUUGUUUCACUGCUCUAAAAGUCCACUGUGCUGCUCUUAUCCAUCACUCCUUCCUGCCAACCCCUGGCAACCACUGAUCUUUUCACUGUCUUUUUGUCUUUUCCAGAAUGCCUUAUAAUUGGAAUAGUAUAGUAAUUAAAACGUCUUAUAAUUAUAUAAUUAUAAUGUCUUAUCAUUGGUAUAGUAUAGUAUAUAGGCUGUUCAGGUUGGCUUCUUUCACUUAUUAAUAUACAUUUCCGUUUCCCCCAUGUCUUUUCAUGGCUUGACAAGUUCUCUUUAGUGCUGAAUAACAUUCCAUUGUCUGGAUGUACCACGGUUUCUUUAUCCAUUCACCUACUGAAGACAUCCUGGUUGUGUCUAAGUUUUGACAGACAAUUAUAAAUAUAGUAUCUAUAAACUUCCACGUGCAGAUAAAAUUUCUACAAACAUCCAUGUGCAGGUUUUUGUGUGGGUGUAAGUUUUCAACUCAUUUGGGUAAAUAUUAAGGAGCGUGAUUGCUGGAUCAUGUGGUAAUUGUACCUUUAGUUGUGUAAGAAAUUGCCGAUCUGUCAUAUUAUUUAUAGUUUAUCAUUUUUUUCUAGAAAAUAUUGGAAUAAAAAGACUACCUAUGCAGUUACAAACAGCGUCGUCAGAAUGUAUGCAUAAUGUUUAUGAGUCUAGAGCCUAAAAUCAUUGGCUCAAAUUAUGAAAGAAUAUUUUAUAUCUAUGUAUUUUGUGCAUAAAUAACCAAAUAUAAGCUUGUUUAUAAACAGACACUAUAAUAAUUUUUGAUAUGGUAAGGC